GAGCACGUAGGUGGGUUUGUAAGUCAGAUGUGAAAGCCUUCUGUUCAACGGAAGAAUUGCAUCUGAAACUGCGAGUCUUGAGUGUAGGAGGGGAGAAUGGAACUUCUGGUGGAGCGGGGAAAUGCGUAGAUAUCAGAAGGAACUCCGGCGGCGAAAGCGAUUCUCUGGCCUAUUACUGACACUCAGUGUGCGAAAGCUAGGGGAGCAAACGGGAUUAGAUACCCCGGUAGUCCUAGCCGUAAACGAUGGGCACUAAGUAGAGGGGUUUU
rnacentral:rRNA from 1 species